GAAAUGCGAUAAGUAAUGUGAAUUGCAGAAGUCAGUGAAUCAUCGAAUCUUUGAACGCACAUUGCGCCCGCCAGUAUUCUGGCGGGCAUGCCUGUUCGAGCGUCAUUUCAACCAUCAAGCCCCGCGCUUGUGUUGGGGACCUGCGGCUGCCGCAGGCCCUGAAAACCAGUGGCGGGCUCGCUGUCACACCGGGCGUAGUAGAUUUUAUCUCGCUCAGGGCGUGCUGCGGGUUCCGGCCGUUAAAAAGCCUUUUUUACCCAAGGUUGACCUCGGAUCAGGUAGGAAGACCCGCUGAACUUAAGC
rnacentral:misc_RNA from 1 species